rnacentral:rRNA from 1 species
GUGUCAGCAGCCGCGGUAAUACCGGCAGCCCAAGUGAUGGCCGAUAUUAUUGGGCCUAAAGCGUCCGUAGCUGGCCGGACAAGUCCGUUGGGAAAUCUGCUCGCUCAACGAGCAGGCGUCCAGCGGAAACUGUUCGGCUUGGGACCGGAAGACCUGAGGGGUACGUCCGGGGUAGGAGUGAAAUCCUGUAAUCCUGGACGGACCACCGGUGGCGAAAGCGCCUCAGGAAGACGGAUCCGACAGUGAGGGACGAAAGCUAGGGUCUCGAACCGGAUUAGAUACCCCUGUAGUCC